AGAAAUUUAGUUGAUAAACAACAUUAAAUUGCAAAUUUAAAAGAAUAUUUAUUUAUAGUUUCUU
rnacentral:tRNA from 1 species